ensembl:lncRNA
GGGCAAGAACACUGGAGUGGGUUGCCUAGGAGUCAGUUAAAAGAACAGCCAAGAGAUGCACACACAUCAGUGGUUAUCAUCAAAAUAUAAAUAUUCAUUGGAAGGAAUGAUGCUGAAGCUGAAGCUCCAAUACUUUGGCUACCUGAUGUGAAGAGCUGACUCAGAAAAGACCCUGAUGCUGGGAAAGACAGAAGGCCGGAGAAGGGGAUGACAGAGGAUGAGAUGGUUGGAUGGCAUCACUGACUCAAAGGACGUGAGUCUGAGCAAGCUCCGGGAGAUGGUGAAGAACAGGGAAGCCUGGUGUGCUGCAGUCCAUGGGGUCACAAAGAAUCGGACAUGACUGAGCAACUAAACAACUUUUCUAGGCUUCUGCCUUCUCCUUCCACCAAUUAAAUGCUUCCUUUAUGCAUAUUCCUUUUUUUGGCCCCAUACUGUCAUACUCCACACAUUCUCCUUGGUGACCUCAUCCACUCUCAAGUAUCCAUGUCAUGCAAAUCUCCACUGGCAGUCCAGACCUCCCUCCAAACAACGUGUUGAUCACCAUGGGCAUCUUCAAACUCAGCAUGUCCAAAUGAAGUCGUCAUCUUCGACAACCCUUCUAUC